rnacentral:rRNA from 1 species
GACAAAGUCCCAGCAGUAGCGGUCAUACUAUUGAAGAGCCGAGUGUUAUCCAUCCAUACCAGGCGUUAAAAGCGUUCGUUCU